CCACUCCCGGCCCCUGAUUUUUGUAUUUUUAGUAGAGAUGGGGUUUCGCCACAUUGGCCAGGCUGGUCUCGAACUUCUGACCUCAGGUGAUCCACCCACCUCGGUCUCCCAAAGUGCUGGGAUUACAGGCGUGAGCCCCUGUACCCAACCUCAUUCUUAAAGCCUUCCUAUAUUUAACCAGUCCCCAGCAGAUGACGUACAUUAUACCCUGCAUUCUGUUUCUCAUACAUGUUCUUGCGCAAAUUUAACUGCAGGGUAAGUUUCUAGAAGGGAAAUUCCAUAGUCUAGACUAAAGGUUACUGGUAGGCCAGGUAUCUCAACCUAUAUUUGGUUCUCAGAUCCAAAGGUAGGAUUUACAGAACAAAACUGCUUCAUGUUCAGUGGGGUUUCACAUGCCAGCUGCAGGUGAGAGCUCUGGGGAUUUGCAUGCUGUCAGCCAACACCCUAGCCACCUGGAGAGGUCCUCUGUUGAAUUAACUGCCCAGCAUCUGUCCACCCUGUGGACCACCCACAGCAGUGUUGCCUUCAAAAACUUGCCUGCUGGUCGGGCACAGUAGCUCAUGCCUGUAAUCCCAGCACUUUGGGAGGCCGAGGCAGGCGGAUCACAUGAGAUCAGGAGUUCAAGACUAGCCUGGCCAACAUGGUGAAACCCUGUCUCUACUAAAAAUACAAAAAUUAGCGGGGCAUGGUGGUACACGCCUGUAGUCCCAGCUACUUGGGAGGCUGAGGCAGGAGAAUCCCUUGAACGUGGGAGGCAGAGGUUGCAGUGCACCGAGAUGACGCCACUGUACUCCAGCCUGGGUGACAGAGCGAGAAUCCACCUCAAAAAACAAACAGGCCGGGCGCGGUGGCUCACGCCUGUAAUCCCAGAACUUUGGGAGGCCGAGGCAGGUGGAUCACGAGGUCAGAUCGAGACCAUCCUGGCUAACACAGUGAAACCCCGUCUCUAUAAAAAUACAAAAAAUCAGCCGGGUGUGGUGGCGGGCGCCUGUAGUCCCAGCUACUCAGGAGGCUAAGGCAGGAGAAUGGCAUGAACCCGGGAGGCGGAGUUUGCAGUGAGCCAAGAUCGCGCCACUGCACUCCAGCCUGGGCGAUAGAGCGAGACUCCGUCUCAAAAACAAACAAACAAACAAACAAACAAAAAACUUGCCUGUUAAUUCUCAUUUCUGAGAUCCUGCAGCUACCUUGGGUGGUGGCCUGUCCAAGCCUGGCCUUUGUUUUGUUUUGUUUAUUUGUUUUGAGACAGUCUUGUUCUGUUACCCAGGCUGGAGUGCAGCGGCGUGAUCAUGGCUCACUGCAGCCUCAAACUCCUGGGCUCAAGCGAUCCUCCCACCUCAGCCUCCCAAGUCUUUGGGAUUAUAGGCGUGAGCCACCGUGCUGGCUUGCCUUUGGUUCUCUGAACUACUCCAGUUCUUUCCACUAAAUCCACCCCCCUCUUUUUUCCCCUUUGGUUAAUCAGAAUCCAUAUCUUUUGCUCCAGAUCAAAGAACCCUACCCGAUGAUCCCUUCUCCAUUCACAAAAUCAAUAACAUACUCAAAAUCAAUAAACAGCUGACCGAGCACAGUGGCUCACGCCUGUAAUCCCAGCACUUUCGGAGGCAGAGGUGGGCGGAUCACAAGGUCAGGAGUUCGAGUCCAGACUGACCAACAUGGUGAAACCCCGUCUCUACUUAAAAAAUACAAAAAUUAGCUGGGCGUGGUGGUGUGCACCUGUAAUCCCAGCUACUUGGGAGGCUGAGGCAGGAGAAUGGCUUGAACCCGGGAGCCCGAGAUUGCAGUGAGCUGAUAUCAUGCCACUGUACUCCAG
rnacentral:lncRNA from 10 species